GGCAAGAUGGCCGAGUGGUCUAAGGCGCUGCGUUUAGGCCGCAGUCUCGAAAGGGGCGUGGGUUCGAACCCCACUCUUGUCA